UACGUAGGGUGCGAGCGUUAAUCGGAAUCACUGGGCGUAAAGCGUCUGUAGGUGGUUCAAUAAGUCAACUGUUAAAUCUUGAGGCUCAACUUCAAAAUCGCAGUCGAAACUAUUGGACUCGAGUAUAGUAGGGGUAAAGGGAAUUUCCAGUGGAGCGGUGAAAUGCGUAGAGAUUGGAAAGAACACCAAUGGCGAAAGCACUUUACUGGGCUAUUACUGACACUGAGAGACGAAAGCUAGGGUAGCAAAUGGG
rnacentral:rRNA from 1 species